ACUUUAAUAGCUUAUAAAGAGUAUAAUAUUGAAAAUAUUAUGGAGAAAGUUUUUCUUAAAGUA
rnacentral:tRNA from 1 species